UACGUAGGCAGCAAGCGUUGUUCGGAGUUACUGGGCGUAAAGGGUGCGUAGGCGGUUGUUUAAGUUUGGUGUGAAAUCUCCCGGCUCAACUGGGAGGGUGCGCCGAAUACUGAAUGACUAGAGUGCGGGAGAGGAGAGUGGAAUUCCUGGUGUAGCGGUGAAAUGCGCAGAUAUCAGGAAGAACACCAAUUGCGAAGGCAGCUCGCUGGGACGUAACUGACGCUGAGACGCGAAAGCGUGGGGAGCAAACAGG
rnacentral:rRNA from 1 species